UUGAGGUCAAGUAUGUGAUGUGCCUGAGAAGAAGAGGGAGACACUUCAUCUCCCAAUCUGCUUUCCUGCUUGAUGGUCUGUAGCCACACAUGGCUACACAACAAAAGGCAAAGCCUUUCAUGUUAUAAUAUUACAGAUGAUUAUGUUAACCAGUCUAUUUAGAUUCCGUAGCUCCACUAAGAAAGUAUAGCUUCUUCCACUUCAUUGUCAAAUUGUCAAAGCCACUGGUCAAGAAGAGCCAUAUUAAAUAUGCCCAUGUUUCUAAUGCCAACAUCUUCUUUCUCUUUUACACACACGUGGUGCCUUUUAAAUAAGACUUGCAUUAUUACAUAUGCUAUGCAUACCAUUGUGUUUACAAAACAUGCAUAUGGAUUUUAGUGAGCACUAAGUGAAAAGACAUACAAAAAACUGACCUUGGAAAACCUUAACCUUUGUUAUCUCUAACCUUGUUAUCUUUUAGCCACUAGAAACAGCAAUUGAUAUCCAUAGAUAUUCCACAUCUUUGACUCAUCCUAACAAAUCACAUCCAGAUCACAGGGGAAGAAAAGUCAUCUUGAGCAUGAAACUUCAUGCAUGCAAAAUAACCUAUGCACAAUCUACUGAAACAUAUUAACAAUCUAAUUUCAAACCAAGCACCGACAACACAAUCUGAUAUUGAAUAUUCCAUGUUAAACAACUCUAAAAGUUUGAAGUACAUAUUGACAUACACGCCAGUUAUUUGUCCUCAAAGAAAGAUCACUAAAACUGAGAUCUGCUUCAUAGAUAAACACCAACAAGCAACCUAAUGCCCAAGUAUUGAAUUUGCAAUCAUGAAGACUAGGAUUGAUGUAAGUCACAAUAAAUUUAAUAACACUUGAGGUAAAAAGUCUAAAAUUAUAUUAGUUUCAUGUUUACUACCCAAUGCCUAUCUACAAGACCCCUGAAACACAUUAAGCCUGAUAUACAAUGCUGACCUAUUCUCACACAACUUAAGCUUUUGGGAUCAAGUUGCUAGUUAACAUGGUAUCAGAGUUAAGGUUGCUAAAUGUCAAGAGUUCAUCAUAUCCCCUCCAAGUCCAUAUUUAUUUGAUUGACCUGAUCAUUAUCUCAAUCUGGGACUGCAAAUAUACAUUAUUGACCCAUUCCUUAAACUUUUACAUUCACAUGGUUAAUUAACAAAACCAAAAUAUUCUUUAAAUCAUACUUACAUUAUAUCUUCUUUGGCCUCCCCUCAUAUUUUCAGACACUUCAACCUGUACCCAAAUGCAUAAACACACUUUGACAUAUAAUUAAGACACAACUGCCUUCCAUUUAAGGUUAUCUUUUGCCUAACCUGCACAUGCCCAAAGCAUUCAAAUGUUUAGCCUCAGAUUGACUCCAUCAAUGCCACUUAUAGCCUUCCUCUGAUGUAAUCCUUCCUAAUUCUACUAUAUCAAGUUCUAAUAUCUACUAUUCUUAACCCUCUUAAGUUCCCCGCAUUCUACAGCCUGCUUUUUUAUAAUGAAGUUGGUAUCAUGUUUGUUAUAUAAAGUUCACUUUGCUCUAGUCCCUAGAAAUGAAAGUGAUCUGUGUGGUAGUUAUCUCCUCCAUCCCCAACACCCAGUCUCCAAGAAGCUUUGAACCACAAACAUUCACAUGGUAAAUCAUGAUCCAUGCUAUAGCAAGAGGUUAUAAGAAAUGAUGGUCUUCAGUAACUUGAUCAUGCUAAGAAGGUCAACAAUUAUGGAUACAUUAUGAUCAAUCAACUUGAUGAAUAAUUCCAAGUAACAAUGAUACUGCAGAUAUUGUUAUCAAUGUAAAAACGCUUAUGACCAAGUCCAACUUAAUUUUGUGGGCACAUAGAAAUAUUCUUAAGGUUGUAUUAAGAGGGUUGAAGACAUAUGAUGCAUGACAAUGAGAAGGUUGACAGGAAAUUGCAACAACAAUCUUUUAGAUGUGGUGGUGAAAAACUUCAAGGCAUUCUUUCUUAACUUUCACAUACAACAUUUGCUAAAACUAUUGACAUUCACAAUCUAUCCUCCUUACAAAUGAUGUAACACCAAUCAUGACUUGCAGAUUUCAUUGAAAGGCUCAGAUUGUCUACGUAACUUGCCAAAGCUAAAUAUGCAAUAAACAGAUAGAAUUUAUUUAGAACAAAGCCCAAAGCAGGACUAAUAACAAAGAGGUAGACUUGAAUACGUAUUUAAGUUAGCUUAAAUUGUAAAUGAGAAUGGUAGUGAAGUCUUAUAACAAACUAAAUGUGCAUUUCCAGUGUUUAUCAGAAUUAUCUUAUUAUUUCUUAUCAUUUUUUUCUAAAGUUACUAUGGGAACCUACAACCAGAAGCAUUACAUGGAUAAGAAUAUCCAGUAAGAAAGAUGAUGCAAGUAAGACAACCAUAUUCAAGAUUAUGAUGUUGAAGAGAUGAUGAAUUAGAAAUAAUUGAAUCAUAAUUCAGUACAUUGUAGGAAAUUUAUGAGCUGAGGUGAAAUGAUUAGAAUGAAAUGAUCAUUUACAGGAAAAAAAAAAUAAUAACAAUAAGAGGUCAGAUGAAGAGUGGUUAAGGAUUGAAAGGAAGGUCCCAUAAAGAUGAUGAGCAGAAGAAAGAUCAACUGAAAAUUGGUUGGGAGAGAGUUUGUAUGCUCGUUUAAACUAAGAAAUUAGCUUUGUAUUGUGUAUCAAGAAGGAGCUUAAUUAGUUAUGUGUUCCCUUUGAAUUCCAACUUAAACAAACAGCAUGAAUAAUACACUUGCAAGGUUUGCACAGUGUUCACACACAUCGCAAGGCACAAUAGGGAGUUGUGGUGCUACCAACUAAUAUUUUAUAUGAAUAAUCCGUAGUCAGUCCACACUGAACAGCAUUGUUAAUGAACCAAAUGUUGAUUCAUCACGAAAACAUUAGAAGCAACUUGCUGUUUGCAAAGUACCUUAAUGAAGAAAGACUAUGACAUCCCAGUCAUUUGCUGAUAAGCUGACAAAAGAAUAAGCACCCAUUUGAACUACUGCGACUUGAUUCAGACACUCA
rnacentral:lncRNA from 1 species